rnacentral:rRNA from 1 species
GGGUCAGUAGGUUGGUCGUGCCACCGGUACGUACUGGUCUCACUGAUUCCUCCUUCCUGUAGAACCGUAAUGCCAUUAAUUUGGUGUUGCGGGGAAACAGGACUGUUACUUUGGAAAAAUUAGAGUGUUUAAAGCAAGCUAACGCUUGAAUACAUUAGCAUGGAAUAAUGAAAUAGGACGAUCGAUCCUAUUUUGUUGGUUUCUAGGAUUGACGUA